AGUGACCAGUGUCCUUGUAAGAAGAGAAGAGACAGAUAUACACAGAGACACCUGGAAGGCCGUGUGAAGACAGAGACUGGGAUCGAUUGGAGUGAUGCUGCCAAGAGACAAGAAACACCCAGGGCUCCAUGAACCUAAGAGGGCAUGUGUUUCUCAUUCUACAUGUGGUGUGAAGAUUACAGAAGAGAAAUGCGAGCACCUACAAUAAAUACUACAUGAACCCAGAGAUGCACAAAGGCCCCUGGACAUUAACAGAUUCUACAUUCUUAUUGAACAGUGCUGGAAUAAUAAAGUGAGAUGACUGAUUCCAAAUGAGAAAAUGAAAUUCUUUCAGUUUGUCCCGUCAUUGCUGUAAAAUGGCUGUAGCUGGGAAGAAAUUCACCCACAGCAACGCACAAAGGACAUGAAGAGAGGACUGUCUCCUUCUUGUGUGUUUCCUUCAGCAGCAGCAAAAUGUUUCCAGACCCUCACUUCCUCCUUCACUGUCAGAAAAAUCUUCUCUUGUUUGCUUUUGACUAGAAUUGCACCAUAUGCUCAUUUUUUAAACAACCACAGGCAAAUGAGCUGUGGCAGCUUGGUUCCAGCAUGCAGCACCUACUUCAAAUGGUUUUCCAGAGAAAUGCCGGUGUGUCUCCAGCUGCAGCUGCCGCUCCUGCAUGGUUUGUGUUUUCUCUGAUGCUCAGGCACCAAAUGCUUUAGCCUCUGAGGACAGCAGAGAGGAGGAAACAAAACAGUCAUGUUGUCUGUGUAACUGAAAGAGCAGCCACUAACAUUCAGCAGGAGAGAGUGCCUUCUAAAUACAUUUGUAAAAAAUACUUCUCUUUCUAUUCCUUUAGCUAAAUAUGGUGUGUGUGGUGCCUGAGUACUCUCCAGUAGGAUGUGUAGCUCAUCUGUCUAUCAUCUGCCUAUUGAGAGAGAUUUUAAGGAACUGGCUCACAGGAUGAUGGGGGCUGGCCAGUCAGGGUAAGAACACAAGCUGGAGUCCCAGGAAGAAGAUGUUGCAGUUUGAGCCCAAAAGCCGUCCGCUUGGUCGAAUUUCCUCUUUGGGGGAAAAGCACUCUUAGUUCUAAUAAGGCCUUAAUUGAUUGAAGGAGGCCCACCCACACUGUGGAGGGCAGUCUGUUUACUAAAAUUCCACUGGUUUAAAUGGUAAUUCCAUCUGAAAACACCCUCCCAGAAACAUUUAGAAUAAUGUUUGACCAAAUAUCUGGGUAUCCAUGUCCCAGUCAAGUAGACACAGAAAAUUAACCAUUACAUGUGGCUUAGCCUACAUUUAAGUGAAGACUUUCAUCAUUUUUUAAAGUCCCAGAUCCAUUGAGCAAAACAGGUCUUUUGAGCCAUGUUUUUGCUGUCAUGAAAGCAGGGAUAAACCAUCUUUACCUGCCACCGAUGAGCUUUGCAAAGAUUAAGAGAGUUUUUGAGCAAAUAAACUCAUCCUAUACAGAAUGUGAGCCAAAUCCUCAGACAGCCAGGUGUUCACAGGUAAAAUAGAGCUAAUCUCAAAACAUCUACUUUUUGAAUGUUUUUAUAUUAGCAAUAAAAUAAUAAUCCAUCCAUUCACCCAUGUAAUUUCUUAUAUUUUAUUUUUUAGGCAAGCAAAAAGGAUGUGUGAUAUAAAAUAUUGUCUUCCAAUUAGACGUUGAAAUGCACAAAAUGUAAGGAUUGAAAUGUCACUAAAUCAAAUGUUUAACAUCUUUAAGAACCUUGGUACCCAGUACCCACCAAGGCUACUCGUGGUGUGGAAACUUUCAAAGUAAGCCUGCUGUUUAAACACAUGCUACUUUUACAAAGAAGUUGCUGUCAAUUUUACUUUGAGGAGUGUAGCUAUUUUUAAAUAAGAUCUCAAUAGAAUUCCUAGCCGCAUGUGGCUGAGACUUGUCUGGAGAUGACGUGCUUCUCCAGCUGUUGUAAGAGGAUAACUUUUCAAAAUGCCCACCUCACUUCUCUUUUUGAGCCUCUCUCUAGCCUGGAAGGGUUUCUUAUUUGAUUAUGAUGCUCUAGGUAGUUUGUCAGCUGAAGGAGAGCUUCAUGUGUUGAAGACAAAAGAGGUUACUGCACUUAGGACCCUUGAUUACAAAAUGAAUUGAAAAGCCACCGUCUUCUUGUUACAGGACUGCUUAACCAUAACGAUUCUCUUUCUGAUCCUUUACUUUAGCUAUUUUCUGCCAAAGCAAAGGGUGAUGCCUAUCUGCCUGCAGUUCCUCACCUUAUCACUCACUAUAAUCCAUUCCUGUGCCGCAAUGCCGUCUGCAAGACAGGCUGCUGCCUUUAUGGCUGCUGCUAGGGGACAACAAGGUCAUUAUUUUCAUGGCCAGUUUUGCUGUAUGUUUUAAAACAAUAUUCAUGGUAGCCUACUACUCUGUAUCUAUUUAUCCAGGGUGAUCAACAAAUAUGAGGCAGGAAAAAGAUACAUCAAUAUCAAUGAUGUCAGAGUGGUGUUCAAAUACGAUAGAACAAUAUGCUUGACAUGAAUUUCCUUACAAUAUG